CCGAGUUAGGGUCUUUCCAGGCCCGACCUCCCAACCCUUUGUUUAAUUGACCCAUGUUGCUUCGGCGAGCCCGUCCCCCCAAAGGGGACCGCCGGAGGGCCCUUACCGGUCUUCUGGCCCGCGCUCGUCGGUGGCCAACCUUUACAAAUUCUUAAUUAAACGUGUCUUAUCUGAGUACAAAUUUAAUUAAAGCA
rnacentral:misc_RNA from 1 species